CCAGUGUUCUGGGAUCUACACUGUAUGCCAGUGAGCUUCCAGAUGCAAUUCCAGGGAUGAUGCUAAAAAGCAGAUGGCUCAAUAUAGACCAUGGUUAGGAAGCAAUCCAUGGAUCCAGAAGCCACAUUACAAAUACUUCUGAAUGUUGCAGUUUCUUCAAGCAAGAAAAUGAGCAGGAUAAUUUGACUGAGACUAGUGUCAUCGUAGUUCAAUAGCCUCAUCGAGAGAUCUUAGAGUGGUUGAAGGCUGUCCACAAGACUGCAGCAUGACGGUAUUAGAUACAGAUUAACCUUCCCCUAUCAUCUUUCUGCAGCACAGGAAACUCAAUAACUUUCUCUUUUGCCUCGAGUGUUUCAAGCACAGAUAUUGCUAAUAAUAAAAUGUGUCUUUA